rnacentral:piRNA from 1 species
UGGUAUUCACCAUCACAGGUUACUACUGCUU